AGGCUUAACACAUGCAAGUCGAGCGCCCCGCAAGGGGAGCGGCAGACGGGUGAGUAACGCGUGGGAACGUACCCUUUACUACGGAAUAACGCAGGGAAACUUGUGCUAAUACCGUAUGUGCCCUUCGGGGGAAAGAUUUAUCGGUAAAGGAUCGGCCCGCGUUGGAUUAGCUAGUUGGUGGGGUAAAGGCCUACCAAGGCGACGAUCCAUAGCUGGUCUGAGAGGAUGAUCAGCCACAUUGGGACUGAGACACGGCCCAAACUCCUACGGGAGGCAGCAGUGGGGAAUAUUGGACAAUGGGCGCAAGCCUGAUCCAGCCAUGCCGCGUGAGUGAUGAAGGCCCUAGGGUUGUAAAGCUCUUUCACCGGAGAAGAUAAUGACGGUAUCCGGAGAAGAAGCCCCGGCUAACUUCGUGCCAGCAGCCGCGGUAAUACGAAGGGGGCUAGCGUUGUUCGGAAUUACUGGGCGUAAAGCGCACGUAGGCGGAUCGAUCAAGUCAGGGGUGAAAUCCCAGGG
rnacentral:rRNA from 1 species